GACGAACGCUGGCGGCGGGCUUAACACAUGCAAGUCGAACGGAAAGGCCCUGCUUUUGUGGGGUGCUCGAGUGGCGAACGGGGGAGUAACACGUGAGUAACCUGCCCUUGACUUUGGGAUAACUUCAUGAAACUGGGGCUAAUACCGGAUAGGAGCUCCUGCUGCAUGGUGGGGGUUGGAAAGUUUCGGCGGUUGGGGAUGGACUCGCGGCUUAUCAGCUUGUUGGUGGGGUAGUGGCUUACCAAGGCUUUGACGGGUAGCCGGCCUGAGAGGGUGACAUGACACAUUGGGACUGAGAUACGGCACAGCCCAAUACGGGAGGCAGCAGUGGAGAAUAGUGCAUAAUGGGCGGAAGCAUGAUGCAGCAACGCCGCGUGGGGGAUGACGGGCUUCGGGUUGUAAACCGCUUUCGUCUGUGACGAGGCGUGAGUGACGGUAAUGGGUAAAGAAGCACCGGCUAACUACGUG
rnacentral:rRNA from 1 species